GUGAGGACCGGAGGCGGGGAGUGGGGGUGCUGCGACCCGCGGGUGAGCCGGGUGAUUCGAGGUCGGAGCCGACCAGCGGCCGCAGGGAGAGGCGGGCUGGCGCCUCCCCGGCGGGCGUCCCUCGGGUCGGGAUUACAGGUUACGGUUGCGAGGCUGGCAGGGCCGGAGACACUCGGCCUCGCGGCCGCCACCACCGCCACCGUGGCACUUUGGGCCGGGGGCGGGGAGGAGAGCAUUCCUAGGGGCCCGCCAGCCAAACCCGGGUCGGGCAGGCCCCGCCCCGGCCGGCCCCAAGCGGCUCACAGAAGCCUUGGCGCAGUCCAGCUCGCGGGGGGAUGGGCGAGGGUGGGGGGCAGAAAUAGCAAUCUGCAGCCGGCAAGGGGGCGGCACUUAGUCAGGCUCCGCCCACAAGACCCGGCUGCCGUCCCCGCCCGCCUGCGCGGGAUCGACUCCGCAUGCGCACUGGAGCCUCGGAAUACAGCCAGGACUCUCCCGUCGGAAUGCGCCCCUAAGUUGGGCCAAGCCCAUUCAUUCAGGGGCUCCCGAGCCACGUAGGCGCCAUCCCUGGCCAGAGGGGUUCUGAGGAGGUGGGCAAGGGCAGACACUCUCUCCCGGUCUCAAAUUCGAAAUAGGGACUAGAAGGGAACUUCACGCGAGGCCUCGCAACUGUCGCGAGAAUCAGAACAGGAAAUCUAGGAACCGAGAACACUAAGAGCCCGCGGAUUUUAAACAGGAAAAAGAAAGGGCGGAGCAAACUCUGGCGGAUAGUUGUGAGUAAUCCCUGGUCCUUGGAAUAAGUGUCGACCUGAGACAGAAGGGGAACUGUCAGAGAGCUGCCGGAGACCCUGAAAAAGGCCAGAGACGGGGACUUGUGGGGCUGACGAAUGGAAUCACCCAAGGAGAGGUCUCUGACUCUAACAAAACACCUUGGGGACGGAGCUCCUUGGCUGGGAUACAGAGCAGACAAGUCCGGGAUCUUUUAGUGAAUUGCUGCCGGCUUCUAAGGCCUGGAGCAGAUAUUCAACAACAAACUCCACGGACCUAGAAACUCUCCACUUAUCCUACUAUUGUAGACGGUGGCUUACUUUUAGUCUUCCCUAUGCUCUAAGCUUCUGGUAGUAGGAAUCGUGCCUAACUCACUACUGUAUCUUGUGAACCUAGCCCCGCGCCUGGUGGCACGUCAAAUUCUCGGUAAAUAUUUGUGGAUUAAAUGUGAAAGACUGCCUGAGUGUUUAACCUGGAUUUUCUGAGUCGCUGAUGGAGAACAGUAGGUAGACGGGGAACCAGCGCCCUCUGGUGGGCUUGUGGUUCGUGACGAGAACAUGCUGGAACCGUGCAUCCAGAGACAAAGUCUUACUAUGUUAUCCAGGCUGGUGUGGAACUCCUGACCUCAAGCAGUCCUCCCACCUCAGCCUCCCAAAUUGCUGGGAUUAUAGAUGUGAACCACUGUGCCUGGCCAAUAACCACCUUUAACUCUAUACUUUAAGUUUACCUGGUUUUGACAUUUAUAGAAAUUGGGACAUGCCUAGGAUUGGAAUUACUGCUUCAUGUGAUAUGCAUAUUCAACAUUAGUAGAUUUUCUUUUCCUUCCUUCCUUCUUUCCUUCCUUCCUUCCUCCUUUCCUUCCUUCCUUUCCUUCCUUCCUUCCUUCCUUUUCUUUCUUUCCUUUUCUUUUCUUUCUUUCCUUCUUUUCUUUCUUUUUUUUUCUUUUCUUUCUCACAGGGUCUCACUCUAUCUGGGCUAGUCCCAAACUCCUCGGCUUAAGCAAUCCUCCCACCUCAGCCUCCCAAAAUGCUGGGAUUAUCAACAUUAGUAGAUAUUACCAUACACUUUUUCCAGUGUGAUGUAUGAAUUUAUAUAGUCUUCAGCAGUUGAUGAGUUUUCAUUAUGCCACAUCCUUGCCAAGAGUUGGUAUUGUUGUUGUUCUUUUAAAUUUUAGCCAUUAGGUAAAAAUUUUAGAGCCUAAAAUUUUUAAAUGGCCAGUUCUGCAAGGAUUUCCUCUCUUGGAUAUUUUUUUAAAAACCUUUUAUUUUGAAUUUUAGACUUGGAUAGAAGUUGUGAAAAUAGCAAAGAAAUUUCCCAUGUACCUGUCACCUAGCCUACCCUGGUGAUAACAUAAUAUCUUAUAUAACCAUGAUAUAAUUAUCAAAACCAGGAAAUUGAAAUUUAUACAGUACUAUUAGCUAAACAAUGGACCUUAUUUGGAUAUCACUGGUUUGAUAUUACGUGUGUGUGUAUAAUUGAAAUUUUAUUGCAUGUGUAGAGUUGUGUGACCAUGAGGUGAGUAAAUGGGUCUUCAGGGGUAUGACAGGGUAAAACUGAUGCCAAGGGAAAAGCUAGUAGACUCUAUAGUACUAAACACAAUGUCAUUUAAUAUAUGAGUAGCUUUAAAAUUAUUAUAUCAAAAGUCAGUGAUAGGAAAGGCAGCUAGUUACGGUAGCUAAACACACACAGCUGGGUGCGGUGACACAUGCCUAUAGUCCCAGCUACUCAGGAGGCUGAGGCAGGAGGAUCACUUGAGUCCAGGAGUUCAAGUCCAGCCUGAGUGAAAUAGCAAGACCCCGUCUCUAUAAAAACAACAAAAACCCACUCUCACACAUUUGCACACUGUGCGUCUACCUGUUGGGGGAGCUGUGCACAUGGGUAAAGUCCCAGGGUCACUGGUUGAAGUUCACUUUGCAUUAUGACACACUCAGAAGGAAAGAUAAGUUUCUGCCCUUACAUCCAAUUUUACUUGAAGACAACUUUCUGUAGGUGAGGCCAGUGAGAUAACUUUCUGCUGACACCCCACAGCAUCCUCGUUCCUUCUGCCGGACUUCCAGAUUUCUAUUUCUGGCCCAAACCUCUCUCCUGAACAUCACUCCAUGGAUUCGUCUACAACCACUUCUAGUAUUUUCUUCCACAGCCAGGGAAGAAGUCCAUAAACAGCUCCCGGCUACAUCAUACUUAGGACGCCCAGAAAAAUGUAUCAGUAUAUCACAUCUCAGGGAAACCUUUUAUUGACUCUGUUUAGGUGAUGUGCUCAACAAUAAUUCACCACAUGGCCCAGGAGCCACCACCCUGGACCACAAACCCCAUAGCAGAUGCAGUCAGUACCUCACUCAUAUACCCUUGGCUCACUCCAAAGGUUACCUGCAGAUAGUUCCUUUAUGACCCGGUGUGUCUGUCUGUCGGAGGGAGUUCUUUAGCCCCUAGAGUCAGCUUGGCUGACAUGCAGGGCAGGCUGGAAAUGCUGUGGAGGUAACAACUCAGGAGCAAGCCACAUCCGGUGAGGAAAAACAAUAGAGGACAGAUAAUCCUGUUCCUUACCCUUCAGUGGGAUAAUUUUGAGGUGUGUUCUCCACAGUUUUGCAGAAGGCUUAGAGAGACUGAGUCACAGUUGUCCUCAGUGGUAACCUGCUCAUUAAUGCAUCCUUUAUUUGGUUUUCCUCCUCUCUCUGACUUCCCUUCCCCCUCACUGUGUUUUCUGGGAUAAACUCCCAAAUAAACUACUUGUACCAAAAUCCUUGCCUUGGGAUCUGCUUUCUGGGAAAUCAAAAUUAAGACAACCCCUGUAAAGGGAGGAGGCCAUCUUCCUGAGUGCCCCAUCAAGACCACAGGGACCAGGGGGAGAUCUUAGACCCCAAAACCACAUUGUGACAAUAUCUUUGCUGACAUCCCACUUUAUUUCCUUCCUUUUUUUUUUUUUUUAAGAGAUAGAAUCUUUUUCUGUGGCCAUGGCUGGAGUGCAGUGGCAUGAUCAUAGCUCACUGCAGCCUUGAACUUCUGGCGUUAAGCAAUCCUGCCUCAGCCUCCCAAGUAGCUGGAACUACAGGUGCAUGCCACCACACCUGGAUAAUUUUUUUUGGUAGAGACAGGGUCUGGCUCUGUUGCCCAGGCUGAUCUUAAACUCCUGGUCUCCCAAAGCACUGGAUAUCCCACUUUUUUCUUCUUCUUCUUCUGUUUUUGAGACAGUGUCUCUGUCACCCAGGCUGGAGUGCAAUGGCACGAUCUUGGCUCACUGCAAGCUCUGCCUCCCGGGUUCAAGCAAUUCUCCUGCCUCAGCCUCUUGAGUAGCUGGGAUUACAGGCACUUGCCACCAUGCCCGGCUAAUUUUUUUGUAUUUUUAGUAGAGAUGGGGUUUCGCCAUGUUGGCCAGGCUGGUCUCGAACUCCUGACCUCAGGUGAUCUGCCUGCCUCGGCCUUCCAAAGUGCUGGGAUUACAAGCAUGAGCCACUGCACCCGGCCUGGAUAUCCC
rnacentral:lncRNA from 10 species